UCAACAAGGAAACCAUUAUCAACACUGCAGCAUCAGACCACAAAACUGCAACUGUUGCAGCCAUAGUAAUUGGGUUCAUUUUCCUAGUCAUUCUUCUACUGGGUGGAGCAUAUUAUUUUAAAAUGAGGCGCCCUUCCUACGGCCGCCUGCUAGAUGACA